AAAAUAUAUAUUUUUUAAAAAAAUAAUAAUUUACAGGGGAUCAACAGUAGAGGAUGCCAAAAUCAAAUCAAGAGUUUGGUAUAUAAGGAAGCAAAAAA